rnacentral:lncRNA from 1 species
CCGGUAGCUCAUUUAUCAACUGAGCGAAUACUUAUUUGUAAGGGCUCAACUAAUUCAAAGCACAUACGAAACAUACCUCAAUGUUGGGAUGUUUCAAGCGUAUUAACUGAAAUUUUUACAGCGAGAUCAUUCAUUCCCAAAUCACGUACCUUCGGAAUUUAACCGGAUAUAGCUACUCGUUCAAAUGCCUUCGGGACAUAGCCCGGUUAUAGUAACUCGCACAAAUGCCUUCGGGACUUAACCCGGAUUUAGUAACUCGCACAAAUGCCUUCGGGACUUAACCCGGAUUUAGUAACUCGCACAAAUGCCUUCGGAUCUUAGUCCGGAUAUGGUCACUUAGCACAAAGCCUUCGGGACUUAGCCCGGACAUCAUUCAAAUAACCAUGCACAUUUAACAAUAAAUCAUGGCACAUUCGUAUUUCGUUUUCGUUAGCAAAACUCAAACACAAGACACUUAUCAUUCUUGCAAUUUCGGCUCAAUAGCCACACACAAGGAGCAUGAUUUUGAUUUGCUUAAAACAUGAUCUAAUCAAAUCAUAAUUUAAGCUCUUUUACUCAAGAACUUACCUCGGAUGUUGUCGAACGAUUCCGAUGGCUACUCGACCACUUUUUCCUUUCCCUUAUCCAACUGGGGUCCUCUAAGCUCUUGAGCUAAUUCAAACAAAUUUAACUCAUUAAAGUCUCAUUUUGCUAGCUUAUGGCCGAAUAUGACAAGGAGUUUGAUAGGUCAUAUGGCCACCCUUUUAGCUCAAAUACACAAUGGUCAUACGCAUUUUUAAUCACAUCAAGCAAUUUAAUACAAUUCAUUCGAACAUCAAAAGAGAAGCUCAAGGUACUUAGCCCAUAUAUACAUUAGACAUUAGAGUCACAUGUGUACGAAAUCACGAAUCGAAUUCAACAUACUAGCUAAUAUUUCCCCUUAGCCGAAUUUUCUAAGUCAAGAUAAAGCCAUCAAUAGGCUACCUAUGGCCGAACAUACACAUAGCUUAUGUACUUAUUCAUGUGGCCGAACAUACAUGUCUAUGUUGGGGCCGAUUGCAACACUUAAUACAUUCUACAAGUAUGGUUACUUGUAUUGACUAAACACCAUUUUGUUUCAAGUUCAAAACUUGGCUAAUACACACAUAUAUACACUAGUAAAGCAUCCUCUCCCUUUCCAUCAAUUUAACACAUGCAUUACUCAUUAAUAUACAAAAAUUAUAUUCGGCCUUAGCACACAACUUGCUAGUCGAUUCUUCUCCAUCUAGCAACCAAUGCACAUAUGUGCUCACUCAAAAAUGCUAAAAAGAAGAUUCAAGAAUCAUCAAUCCACCAUCACAUGCAUCAUUAACAAGCUUCAUAUUUAGCAUGCAAUGGCAUUAACACAAAAUCCACCUAGGCCGAAUAUCAUCCCCAUGACAUAGCAAAGAUUUGAACCAUGGGCUAAUUAGAACUCAAGCUAGCAUCUAAAAACAUGCAUGAAUCUCAUGGCACAACCUCAAACAUACCUUGAUCUAGAUACAAGUAUGGCCAAACCUCCUCCUAAUCCUCUUCCAAACCAAACAUGAAGCAAGAACUCCUUCCUCCUUCCUUAGAAUUUUCGGCCAAAAGAAGAUGAAAAAGGAUGAAAAAAAUUUUUCUUUUCUUUUCUUUAACUCACGGCAAUGGGGGGGGGAAACAACCACACAUUUUUUUUUGUUUCCAUUUCUUUAUUACCCAUACUCCUUAUUUUAAUUUUCCUAACAUACCUCACUAACAUAACAUGUUUGUGACAUGUUUCCACUCAUAGCAUGGCCGGCCACUAUGCCUUAAUUUGGGUAAAUUGACAUGCAAACCCAUCAUUUUCACAAUAUGCAUUAAUAGGCCACUUUGCAUUUGCCUAGCACAUUUCAAAAUUUUCUCACAUAAGUCCUAUUUGAUAAAAUUCACUUACAAUUAACAAAAUUCAAACACGAAAUUUUCACACAUGCACAUGUACAUAUAAUGAGCAUCAAUUAUGACGAUUAAUUAUUUUUAUGACUCGGUUUAGUGGUCCCGAAACAACUUCCCGACUAGGGUCAAUUUUGGGCUGUCACAACUCUCCCCCACUUAAGAAAUUUUUGUCCCCAAAAAUCUUACCGGUAAAUAGGUUUGGGUAUCGUUCUUUCAUCGAGCUCUCUGUUUCCCAAGUAGCUUCCUCGAUCCCGUGUUUGAGCCAUAACACCUUAACUAACGGAACUCUUUUGUUUCGCAACUCUUUCACUUCACGAGCUAGGAUACGAAUCGGUUCUUCUUCAUAACUCAAGUCAGAUUGAAUUUCAACUUCUGAGGGAUUAAUCACAUGUGACGGAUCGGAUCUAUAACGUCGAAGCAUCGAAACAUGAAAGACAUCGUGAAUCCUUUCAAGUUCAGGGGGCAAAAUCAAUCUAUACGCAACCGGACCAACUCGUUCGGUGAUUUCGUACGGCCCAAUGAAUCUCGGGCUCAACUUGCCCUUACGGCCAAAUCUGAGUACCUUUUUCCAAGGCGAAACUUUAAGAAACACUUUAUCUCCCUCCUGAUAUUCAAUGUCUUUUCGUUUCAAUUCCGCAUACGAUUUUUGACGAUCUGUGGCUGCCUUCAGACUUUCACGGAUUACCUUUAGUCUCUGUUCGGCAUCUUUAAUCAAAUCAACUCCGAAAAUUUUACUUUCACCGAGCUCGGUCCAAAACAAUGGUGUACGCCAUUUACGACCGUACAAAGCCUCGUAAGGUGCCAUCUAAAUACUUGAUUGAAAACUAUUGUUGUAAGCGAAUUCAAUCAAAGGUAAAUACCGUUCCCAUGAACUACUGAACUCGAGGAUGCAACAUCUCAACAUAUCCUCAAGUAUCUGAAUUAUCCACUCAGAUUGACCAUCGGUUUGGGGGUGAAAAACAGUGCUAAAAUGUAGCUUGGUACCCAAAGCUUCUUGCAAUUUCCUCCAAAAUCGUGAGGUGAAUCUCGGAUCUCUAUCCGACACGAUAGAAAUAGGUACCCCGUGUAAUCUCACAAUCUGAGAAACGUACAAUUCAGCUAGUUUAUCCAAUGAAAAAUCCGUACGCACGGGGAUAAAGUGAGCCGACUUAGUCAGUCUAUCGACAACAACCCAAAUCGCAUCUUUCUUACUUGCUGACAAUGGCAGUCUGGACACAAAGUCCAUUGUGACUCGAUCCCAUUUCCACUCGGGUAUCAUGAUCGGCUGAAGUAAUCCUGAAGGCACUUGAUGUUCUGCUUUCACUUGUUGACAUAUUAAACAUCUCGAAACAAAGUCGGAGAUGUCUCGUUUCAUACCAUGCCACCAAAACCGACGUUUCAAAUCGUUGUACAUUUUCGUACUCCCCGGGUGAAUUGACAUUCGGCUACAAUGGGCUUCGUUCAGAAUCAUCGAAAUGAGUUCCGAAUUCCUUGGAACACACAAACGACUUCUGAACCUCAAACAAUCAUCAUCAUCAAUUUGAAACUCCGAUUCCUUGUUCGGAACACACUCAGCCCGUUUUGCAACCAAUUCAUCAUCAACUUUCUGGGCUUCACGAAUUUGAUGAAUCAAUAAUGGUUUGGCUUUUAAUUCAGCUACUAACACAUUGUCGGGUAGAACAGACAAGUGCACAUUCAUCGCUCGUAAAGCAAACAAUGAUUUCCGGCUUAAGGCGUCCACAACCACAUUAGCCUUUCCCGGGUGGUAAUCAAUGACAAGCUCGUAAUCUUUCAACAACUCAAGCCAACGUCUUUGUCACAGAUUUAAGUCUCUUUGAGUCAUCAAAUAUUUGAGACUUUUGUGAUCCGAAAAUACAUGGCACUUUUCACCAAAUAAGUAAUGUCGCCAUAUUUUUAAAGCAAAUACGAUGGCAGCUAGUUCAAGAUCAUGGGUCGGAUAAUUUUUCUCAUGUGGCUUUAACUGUCUCGACGCAUAGGCCGCCACUCGACCUUCUUGCAUCAAUACGCAACCCAACCCAAGUAGGGAUGCGUCACUAUAAAUGACAAACUCUUUGCCUGAUUCGGGUUGCACUAAAAUUGGAGCUUCAGUCAAAUAAGUUUUCAGUUGAUCGAAACUUUUCUGACAUUUCUCCGUCCAUUCGAACUUAACAUCCUUUUGAAGUAGCUUCGUCAUUGGUAUGGCUAUCAUCGAGAAACCUUUGACAAAUCGUCGGUAAUAACCGGCGAGUCCCAAAAAGCUCCGAACCUCAGUAAUAUUUCUCGGAGGUAUCCAGUUAAGUAUGGCUGAAAUUUUGUUCGGGUCAACUCGAAUACCCGAUGCAGAUACCACAUGACCCAAGAAGCUAACCUCUCUUAACCAGAACUCACACUUACUGAACUUAGCAUAUAACUGCUUAUCCCGCAAAAUUUGCAACACUAGUCUCAGGUGCUCAGCAUGUUCGGUCUCAUCUCUUGAAUAGACCAAGAUGUCAUCAAUGAACACAACUACGAACCGAUCCAAAUAUGGUCUGAAGAUCCGAUUCAUCAAAUCCAUAAAUACCGCAGGGGCAUUAGUGAGCCCAAACGGCAUCACUAAGAAUUCGUAGUGACCAUAUCUCGUUCUGAAGGUAGUUUUGGGUAUGUCCGAAUCUCGAAUUCGCAACUGAUAAUAGCCCGAUCUCAAAUCUAUUUUUGAGAACACUGAGGCUCCUUUUAGUUGAUCAAACAAAUCAUCAAUACGCGGUAACGGAUAUUUAUUCUUUAUCGUCACUUUAUUCAGUUGACGAUAGUCAAUGCACAACCUCAUGGUUCCGUCCUUCUUUUUCACGAACAAUACUGGUGCACCCCAAGGUGAGAAACUUGGUCGAGCAAAACCUCUAUCCGUCAAUUCUUGCAACUGAGCUUUCAACUCUUUUAACUCGGUUGGUGCCAUGCGAUACGGAGCUAUCGAAAUCGGCGUAGUCCCAGGUACAAGCUCAAUACCAAACUCUAUCUCCCGAACAGGUGGUAAACUCAGUAAUUCUUCAGGAAAAACAUCCGGGUAUUCACAAACCACCGGCACAGAUUCGGGUUUCUUUUCUAAUUCUUUGUUAUCAAGUACAUACGCAAGGUAUGCUUCGCACCCUUUUCUUACAUAUUUCUGGGCCAACAUUGAGGAUAUUACAGCUGACAACCCCUUUAAGUCCGUAGACUCAACUCGUAUCAUCUCGUUAUUUGCGCACCUCAAAUCAAUAGUCUUGAUUUUGCAAUUCACAACCGCAUCAUACGCGGUCAACCAAUCCAAACCAAGAAUAACAUCAAAUUCAUCAAACGGCAAAAGCAUCAAGUCCGCCGGAAAACAGGAACCUCGAAUUACUAGGGGACAUUUCUUACACACUUUGUCGACAAGCACGUAACGACCCAAGGGAUUUGACACCCGAAUUACGAACUCAGUAGACUCAAUAGGUAAAGUCUUACUGGAAGCUAAGGUUUCACAUAUGUAAGAAUGAGUAGAACCGGGGUCAAUCAAAGUAAUUACAUUAGUAUCAAAGAGAGUAAAAGUACCGGUAAUAACAUCAGGCGAAGAAGCAUCCUCGCGGGCACGUAUAGCAUAAGCUCUAGCAGGCGCACGAGCCUCGGAUCUGGUCGUAGCAUCUCUAGAUCCUCUCUGACUACCACUAGCAUUGCCCGUAUUUCCAGAUGGUCUACCUCGAGCAGUGGUAGCACCCGGUUUCCCACUCUGAUUUACAUUCUGUUCAGACAACCUCGGGCAAUCUUUAAUGAAGUGGUCAACUGAUCCACACUUGUAACAGGAGCGGUCAGGGAAUCUACAACUCCCCGAAUGCCAUUUACCGCAAUAUCGACAUUUCGUUCUGUCUCGACGUUCAUUCCCAACACUGGCGACCGAAGUGCCUCGUGUACCCACAGGGGGUCGAUCACGAUCUCGUCUAAAAAGGCCCGAAGUGCCUCUAGACCGGCCCACAUCAUCUCAAAAUUUCUUCGAUGCCUGUUGAAGAGACUUUCCCGAGGAUCUUUUACGAAACUCUCCAGUUCCCACAUCAACUUUUUGUUUUUCUUUUCUAAGCUCUUCGGCUUUACAAGCUCGCUCGACAAGUACUACAAACUCUCGUAUUUCAAGAAUGCCCACGAACAUUUUUAUAUCUUCAUUCAGCCCAUCCUCGAAGCGUUUACACAUGAUAGCCUCGGACGAAACACAUUCCCGAGCGUACCUACUAAGUCUAACAAAUUUUCGCUCGUAAUCAGUAACUGACAUAGAACCUUGCUUAAGCUCAAGAAAUUCCUUCCGUUUUUGAUCAAAAAAUCUCUGACUGAUAUACUUUUUCCGAAACUCAGUUUGGAAAAACUCCCAAGUUACUUGCUCUCGGGGCACAACAGAAGUCAGAGUACUCCACCAAUAGUAGGCAGAAUCGCGUAGCAAGGAGAUAGUACACUUUAGGCAUUCAUCGGGUGUACAAGAUAGCUCAUCGAGUACCCGGAUAGUGUUGUCCAACCAAAAUUCAGCUUGCUCGGCAUCGUCGCUAUCCGUAGCUUUAAAUUCAGUAGCCCCAUGUUUUCGGAUUCUGUCAACUAGGGGCUUAUUUGACCUUAUUUGGUUAGUUUCCGGAGGUAUUGUAGGUACGGGGGUGGUAUUAGUCGGGAAUGGAGGUUGUGGAACAGCCGUAUUAGUUCGAAUGUAUUGGUUGAACCAAUCAUUCAUCACGCUAUAGAAAGCUUGUCUAGCUUCAUCAUUCGGGUUACUAGCAUUAGGUUGAGAGUCUGCCGGCGCUGUCCCUUGUGCGGGAGCAGGCGCUACACUCUCAAGAUCAUCAGCUACCGCUCGGUCGGGAUCGGGAUCCAUUACUAUAAAUAAACACAUUUACAAUUGUCAGAAAUCACCACACUAUCAAAUAAUCACAUAAAAUGGCAUGUAUAGCUAGACCCAACGCAUUACGGUAGUCCUAGAAUCGACUAAACCGUAGCCCUGAUACCAAUCAAAUGUAACACCCCGAACCCGAGACCGUCACCGGAGUCGAACACGAGGUGUUAAUAGACUUUAACCACUUAUAAAAAAAUUUCCCAGACACUGCCAAUCUGCGUACUAGUCUCUUUAAAAAUCAUAUCUUGAGUUCAGAAACUCAGAAUCCAGUUCCGUAAAUUUUCCCUGAAACUAGACUCAUAUGCCCAUCUACAUAUUUUUUUCUAGCAUUUUUGGUUGGGCCAAUUAGUACAGUUUAUUAGUCAAAGUCUCCCAUGUUACAGGGAUUGACUACACUGACCUUUGCGCAUUACAACUUGGAUAUCUCCCUGUACAGGGAUUCAAUACUGAUUUCGUUUGCUUCUAUAGAAACUAGACUCAAGGAGGAAUCUAUACAUAUAUGGCAUGACUCCUAAUUAUCUCUGGUUAAUUUAUAAUGAAUUUCCAAAGUCGAAAGAGGGAAUCCAGAAACCGUUCUGGCCCUGUCUUACGAGAACCUGAAUAUCUCUUAACAUACUGUCCAUAUGAUCAUUUCGUUACUUUCCUAUGAAAAUAGAUUCAUCAAGGUUUGUUUAAAUAAUUUAUUCACUAUUUAAUUCCCUUCCUACUAUUUUUAGUGAUUUUCCAAAUCUACAUCACUGCUGCUGUCAGCAUCUGCCUUUAAGGUAGACUUUACCUAUUUCAUAGUUUCCAUGAUUCAACUAACCCUUUUAGCAUAAAUAGCACAAAUUAUGAUAGUGAUUAACCAUUCCCAUGGCCAAUCCUUGUUAAGCAUAUCCACACCUCUCAAUAACCAUAUCCAUACCAAAUGAUUAUAACAUUAUACUGAAACAUAUAUAAGCCAUUUUCGUAUGGCUAUCCAAAAUUAUACAAGUCCAACGGGUCCAUGACCCCCAACAAAAAGGGUAGUCCUAUACAUGCCAUUUAGAAGUUCAACCAAAAUUGUACCAAAAGGGGGGGGGGCUUUGAUAGUGUGGGUGACUUCGACUUCAAAAUCCCGAGUCUGAUAGCUGGAGAACCAAAAUCUAUAAAACAGAGAAUCAAGGAGACGGAGUAAGCAAUUUAUGCUUAGUAAGUUUUGAGCAAGGGAUUCCAGCACAACAAAAGUAUAGCAUUCAUGUAGCUAAACGGAUAAUUUCAUAUGCACAAUUUUUCAAUAUCAUACUUACUUCACAUUACCAACCCUUUUAUUCAUACACAAAGAUCAACUUAGCCAAAGGCCGGUAGCAAAUUUAUCAACUGAGCGAAUACUUAUUUGUAAGGGCUCAACUAAUUCAAAGCACAUACGAAACAUACCUCAAUGUUGGGAUGUUUCAAGCGUAUUAACUGAAAUUUUUACAGCAAGAUCAUUCAUUCCCAAAUCACGUACCUUCGGAAUUUAACCGGAUAUAGCUACUCGUUCAAAUGCCUUCGGAACAUAGCCCGG